rnacentral:rRNA from 1 species
GGGGGGGGGGGGGGGGGGGCUGGGGGGGGGCAGGGCGGUGGGUGGGGCCCGGCGGGCGGGGGUGGGUCGUGGCGAGCGGGUGAGGAACAUGCGAGUAACCUGGCGUUGAGUGUGGGAUAGGCCUGGGGCACUGGGCCUAAUACUGACUCCGUCUCGCUGCCGCAUGGUGGGCGGUGGCAAGUGCUUUCCUGGUGUUGGAUGGGCUCGCGGCGUAUCAGCUUGUUGGUGGAGUGAUGGCUCACCAAGGCGACGACGGGUAGCCGGCCGGAGAGGGUGACCGGCCACACUGGGACUGAGAGACGGCCCAGACUCCUACGGGAGGCAGCAGUGGGGAAUAUUGCACAAGGGGCGGAAGCCUGAUGCAGCGACGCCGCGUGGGGGAUGACGGCCUUCGGGUUGUAAACCUCGUUCAGCAGGGAAGAAGCCACAAGUGACGGUACCUGCAGAAGAAGCGCCGGCUAACUACGUG